rnacentral:lncRNA from 1 species
CGGGAAUCGGGAAGGGAUGGCCCCGGAAGUGAUAAGGCAGGAUUUCCAGGCAGGGGAAGUGGCAUUUAGGAGAACUGGCUAUUUAAGGGGGCGGUCAGUGCUGACACAGACAAAGCAUUCACUGGCUGGGAAUGGCCGCCACCCAGUGGCUCUGAGAACUAGACUUGGAAGUCUGGCACUGGGAGCUGUGCCAACUUGGACCAAACUUUGGGCGCAAAGCACGACGUGGCAGACGAGGAACCACACUAGAACGGGCCACGCCUACCCAAGAUUUACGAGGCCGUCCUUUCCCUCAUGCAAUCGCAAUGGGAAAAGGAGGAAACUAAGGCUCCGGGCAGGUCCCUGACGCAAGCGGGAAGACAGCGCACCACAACGACCCGAGCCUCCUAACGCGCGGGCCUCCCCUACUGAGCCUGGUUGGCGGAGGGGAGUCUUAAAGCCGCCGCCAUCUGGAGAACCAGCUUUACAAGGACCCUCACUCACUACUCUUCGGCGGCCCCAAAGCCUCUGGGGGGCCCUCUAUGGCCACCACUUGCUCC